GAAUUAUACAGAGGGGAAGAGGAUAAAGACAACAUGAAAUCCUGAACGUGACCUUGAGUGUAGCUUACAAAGGACAUUCUUAGUGGUAGCCGGAUACAUUUCUAGUAUCAAGAAAGGGUUUUAUACAAAGAACCUUUUGUUAAUAAUAGUUAUUGACCAUUUGGAGAGAGACAGAGACAGAGACAGAGACAGAGAGCAUGCAUGUUUUCUGAGAGGGUGGCUUAAGGGUCUCUAAAAUUUUAUAAGCAUUUCCUUCUUUCUCUGUUUUGUUAAGCGCGAAGUUAGAAACAUUUCUACCUCAUUAGCCUCAAUUCAAAGACUCAUUUGGGACACCUGCUACUUAAGCCCAGUUUUCUAUUUUUAAGACCGCAAUCUUGGGCAUUCUUGAAAAGCAUCUGCUUGUUUAUUUUAGUUCAUUUUUAAGAAAGUAGCUCCUGGCCAAUCUGUACUGCAGUGUCUGAAGAGAUGUAACGAAACUAGAUAUAGAAGACUGACAUGUGUUGUGUGUGUGGUAUGUGGUGUAUGUGUGGUGUGUGUGUGUGUGUGUGUGUGUGUGUGUGUGUGUGUGUGUGUGUGUGUGUAAAAGGGCAGUGGGUUGAAAGCCAUAUUCUGAAUCAAGGGCAACACCUGUUAAGUGGAAACUGGUUAGCUAUAAAUAGAGUGUUAAACAGGUAGAUCAGAACACAGUAAUGGAAGCCUAGAGUCAUCCCUACCUCUGAAGCAAGGAAACCUGUGCCACACUAUGUAGGUCCUCCCUGUCGCAGGAUUUUCCUUGUCCAAUCAUAUUAGGGCAGCAGGAGGCCUGUGAUUGGACAGGGAAAAGAGAGGCGGAGCUAAGAGUUGCAAAGACAGAGAAUGUCUCAGCGAGAAAGGGAAGCCUGAGAUAGAAGUGGACAGGAACCAGAGUGGCUUUAACCGCCACAGGUAGUUCUGAUAUCACAAGUGGAGUGCUCAAUGCACUGGAAGGAAGAAAACAUCAUCCUAACAGCCAUGGCCUCUCCAGGAGCCCCCAGAUCUCUGGUUCUUGUUUUGAGCAUUAGCUCUUUCCAUUAGCCAGUGUAGGCAGCCCUGACUCUAUGAUUGGGAGAAGCAACACAAAGUGAAAAUAGAGAUCUUCUGUGUGAAAGUUCCUUUGAGGUGGGAACAUUGAAGCAAGUGAGAGGUCUUUUUGAGUGUGGAGCCCCGUGCUUCUGAAGGAGUCUGACCCACGAAGAUAGCUCGG
rnacentral:lncRNA from 1 species